rnacentral:rRNA from 1 species
UACGGGGGGAGCAAGCGUUGUUCGGAUUUACUGGGCGUAAAGGGCGCGUAGGCGGCCACCGCAAGUCGACUGUGAAAUCUCCGGGCUUAACCCGGAAAGGUCAGCCGAUACUGCGGGGCUAGAGUGCAGAAGGGGCAACUGGAAUUCUUGGUGUAGCGGUGAAAUGCGUAGAUAUCAAGAGGAACACCUGAGGUGAAGACGGGUUGCUGGGCUGACACUGACGCUGAGGCGCGAAAGCUAGGGGAGCAAACGGG